rnacentral:rRNA from 1 species
GAUGAACGCUGGCGGCGUGCCUAAUACAUGCAAGUCGAGCGAACAGACGAGGAGCUUGCUCCUCUGACGUUAGCGGCGGACGGGUGAGUAACACGUGGAUAACCUACCUAUAAGACUGGGAUAACUUCGGGAAACCGGAGCUAAUACCGGAUAAUAUAUUGAACCGCAUGGUUCACUAGUGAAAGACGGUUUUGCUGUCACUUAUAGAUGGAUCCGCGCCGCAUUAGCUAGUUGGUAAGGUAACGGCUUACCAAGGCAACGAUGCGUAGCCGACCUGAGAGGCUGAUCGGCCACACUGGAACUGAGACGCGCUCCAGACUCCUACGGGAGGCAGCAGUAGGGAAUCUUCCGCAAUGGGCGAAAGCCUGACGGAGCAACGCCGCGUGAGUGAUGAAGGUCUUCGGAUCGUAAAACUCUGUUAUUAGGGAAGAACAAAUGUGUAAGUAACUAUGCACGUCUUGACGGUACCUAAUCAGAAAGCCACGGCUAACUACGUG